rnacentral:rRNA from 1 species
UACGAAGGGGGCAAGCGUUAUUCGGAAUUAUUGGGCGUAAAGGGCGCGUAGGCGGCCUUCUAAGUCAGACGUGAAAUCCCUCGGCUCAACCGAGGAACUGCGUCUGAUACUGGAAGGCUUGAAUCCGGGAGAGGGAUGUGGAAUUCCAGGUGUAGCGGUGAAAUGCGUAGAUAUCUGGAGGAACACCGGUGGCGAAGGCGGCAUCCUGGACCGGUAUUGACGCUGAGGCGCGAAAGCUAGGGGAGCAAACGGG